rnacentral:rRNA from 1 species
GACGAACGCUGGCGGCGUGCCUAAUACAUGCAAGUCGAGCGCAGGAAGCAAGUUGAUCCCCUUCGGGGGUGACGCUUGUGGAAUGAGCGGCGGACGGGUGAGUAACACGUGGGCAACCUGCCUGUAAGACUGGGAUAACCCCGGGAAACCGGGGCUAAUACCGGAUAAUACUUUCUUUUGCAUAAAGGAAAGUUGAAAGGCGGCUUCGGCUGUCACUUACAGAUGGGCCCGCGGCGCAUUAGCUAGUUGGUGAGGUAACGGCUCACCAAGGCGACGAUGCGUAGCCGACCUGAGAGGGUGAUCGGCCACACUGGGACUGAGACACGGCCCAGACUCCUACGGGAGGCAGCAGUAGGGAAUCUUCCGCAAUGGACGAAAGUCUGACGGAGCAACGCCGCGUGAGUGAUGAAGGUUUUCGGAUCGUAAAACUCUGUUGUUAGGGAAGAACAAGUUGGGUAGUAACUGACCCAACCUUGACGGUACCUAACCAGAAAGCC